AAUUUAGUGUUUCUGUGAUUCUGAGGGAAUAUAAUUGUUAGAUUUGUGGUAUAAGGGGUGGGUGUGAUAAGCUCUGCUUCAACCCACUCCCUUUCGGACACAUGGGGUUUGUUUUUUUGGUUAAUAUUAUUGUUAUAUUGGUUGGUUUGUUUUUGUUAAGUUGUUAUAUUGUUAACACGCUUGCCGAAUAAAUAAACUCAUUCAUUUUUCAUUGCCGGAUUUACAAUGAUCUCAUAAAUGGCCCAGAAAAAAAAAAACUCUGAAAUCCGUGGAUCCGCAGAAAAUUCUCAUCUAUGAUGAAUACAUAUUUUUGAUUA